rnacentral:rRNA from 1 species
UACGUAGGGAGCAAGCGUUGUCCGGAAUCAUUGGGCGUAAAGCGCGCGUAGGUGGCCUCGUAAGUCCGCUGUGAAAGUCAAAGGCUCAACCUUUGAAAGCCGGUGGAUACUGUGAGGCUAGAGUACGGAAGAGGCGAGUGGAAUUCCUGGUGUAGCGGUGGAAUGCGCAGAUAUCAGGAGGAACACCAAUAGCGAAGGCAGCUCGCUGGGACGUUACUGACGCUGAGGAGCGAAAGCGUGGGGAGCGAACAGG